UACGUAGGUGGCAAGCGUUGUCCGGAUUUACUGGGCGUAAAGGGCGUGCAGGCGGUCUGUUAAGUGCAGGGUGAAAGCUCCCGGCUCAACUGGGAGAGGUCCUUGCAUACUGGCGGACUUGAGGGGGGUAGAGGAAAGUGGAAUUCCCGGUGUAGUGGUGAUAUGCGUAGAUAUCCGGAGGAACACCGGUGGCGAAGGCGGCUUCCUGGACCGACACUGACGCUGAGGCGCGAAAGCUAGGGGAGCAAACGGG
rnacentral:rRNA from 1 species